ACAGGAAAGCCCUAUAGUAGGUAAUGUGGCGCAGGAUGUUAGUGAGCCUGCACAAGAAAGUGUUGAGCGGCUAUCUCCAAUGCCUGUGCCAAUAAUAGAACAAGUACCUCCUACACCUGGACCUUCCAGAGACAGAAGUAGGUUAAGGGGGCGAAGGUAGCAGAGAACUACUGCUGCAGCGAGGCAUGAACAUGUACCACCCCCGCCGGCUCAAUCUGAUAGAACAGCAUAAGAUAGUCACGGGUUAUGAUAAUGGAGAUAGAAAAAAUGAGAGCUGAAGCUGCUCUCAUCAAUGCCAGAGCUAGUAACACUAUUGCCGAAAGCUUUAAAUUACUAGCUGAGAGUGUUGACCGCUUCACCAGACAGUAUUCAAGACAACAAGAACAUGAAGACUGAUUUUAUUAAUAUUUAAGUUUUUUUAUUAUUAAAUUUUAGUUAAG
rnacentral:lncRNA from 1 species